rnacentral:lncRNA from 1 species
ACAGAUGUGAGCCACCACACCCGGCCUACUCUGUUAAUUUAAACAACUAUUAAAUGAGACAAUACACUGCAAAGCACUUAGAAAAGUGCCUGACACAGGAAUAAGUUUUCUUUUUUCUUUUUUUAUUUUAUUUAUUUUUUUAUUAUACUUUAAGUUUUCAAUAAAUGCGAAUGUUUGUUAUUACAUAAAUUUAAAAAAAAAAAAUAGCCACCUGGCUCCAUUCUUGGCCACAAACUCUGAAGAGGUGGAGUUAAAGUGUGUGAGGUAUGUCGGAUAACCUCCCAUGCAAGUCACUACCACAGCUGACAUCCCGGAGCCAGAGAACUUGAUGAAUGUCUUCAAUGGUCACAGCUGAAAAGGGAACUAACUCCAGGUCCCCAGGCUGACUUGCCCUCCGAGCCUGGAGGGCAAACUCUGCUAAUUAACUCUCUUUGCUUGGGUUCGCCUCUGUCAUCUUCACCCCUGUGCCAACAGGCUAUCUCCACAGAUAGCCUGCUCUCGUGUGCCCUCUACUGGAGGGCUGUGGUUCCAGAGUUGCUCCAGCCUCGGACUCGGCUCCCCGCAGACGGAAUGUCCUCCUCCAGGGAGAGGCUCGAGUCAAGUGCUAAUGUGUUGUCAACCUCUGACUCCAGAGAAGCGGAUUAUAUGAUUUAAUGAUAGUUCCGCAUCAGAAAAGAUUUUGAAACGUGUAGCUCAAAACAGUAAAAUUUCACAGUGAUUAUCUGAAACUGAAGUAGUCCAAACCGCUGACGGUGUAACCUGAGCAACUUGUUUUAACUCCUCUGAGGCUGUUUCCUCAUCUGUACGGUGGGAAUAGCAGUACUUACCUAACCAGGCUGAGGAUUAAAUGAAUUAGUAUCUGUAAAGUGCUUAGAAUGGUACAUAGCACAGAGCAGUGUUCUUAAAUAUUUCUUGAAAAAAUUAAUAAAGGAGAAGCCUACCUUAAACCUUCAGAGAAAAUCUGAAGUCGAAAUUUUUAAAAGCUAAAUUUUAGAAUCAAUUGCAUUUUAAAGUCAUCAUGAAACAUGAGGUUGCUGCUACACAGUCACUUGUGCUGGAUUAUAUAACAGGUGAAAACUUAUUCUCUUGGGAAUUUCCAGAACUCUGUGGCACAGCCAAAAUACACCGACCUUGAAUACAUUGUUCUGGAACAAAGUGGAUGUACUGAACACUGAAUUGAUGUUACUACUUCGUACCAAGCACACAGCACUGAAUGCUCUCACGCUCAAUUAUCUGACAGUGAUGCUAGUAAGAAUAAAACAUAAUUUUUAAUCUUAUUUAAAAUGUAUUAUGCACUCCCAGAGUACUUACAAGAAACUACUCUUCUGCUUUUCAUGGAUAUCUAUUCAUAAGAAGAAAGACAGCUGGUUUUGGGGCUGGUGGUGGGUUUUUCCAUUGUUUUCAAAAGACAGAGAGCUAUGCAUAUGCUGACUUCCAAAGAGGCUAUCAUCAGUCACCGGAAAUCCACAGAAAAGGUCACUGCCAGAGAUCUGCCAUGUGUGAUCCACCCACUCUCACUUCAAGGCCACUAGCACCACUACCAGGCUGACACAAGGCCCCUGGGAAGGUGGCCCAGUGCAGGACAGACACAAAAGGGACCACAGUCAAGGAGCAGCCUUACUUUCUCACCUCACCCAAGAUAGAGAGCUAUGGGCCAAGGGAGGGGAAAUCAGGAUAUGGCCACCCAGGCCAGGGCUGCCCCCACUCCUCAACCCUGCUCCCCUGGAGAAAGACCGUACUCUUAUCAAGGGCCCUGUGGGUGACAAAGAGCUAGAGAGCCACUGUGACCACUGGGUUUCUGCACCAUUUGGCUAAUGAAAACCAUGACCCUCUCUGGGUCUCAGUCUUCUCAUCUGUGAAGUGGAAGGAUAGGCAAAAUGACAUGAAUAACAGAAUGAGUGACUAUAACCCAAGCCCACAGCUUAGUGUCAAGGAUUGUGAGAACGAAGCAAAAGGCAUCAAGCACUCUGAAUUGUUCAAAUAAUGAAGAUGAUGCCCACAAAGACAGAUAGAACAUGCCUCAAAGCUUCUCAGUUUUCCUACGACUAAGAUAACCAGUCACCAUGUGGCAUGACUCCGAGGACCACGUACAGGCUUUGCAUCUUCUGUGAAGGCUUCAGUUGCCCUUGGGGAUACAUCGCCGUUCUGUCCACCAACACUCUCUCAUGUUCUCAGGACAUAAUUACCUAUUUCUGUUCUAUCCUCACCCCCUAAAAGAUUAGUCUAGAACCUGUUCUUAUUAAGCUCUGCAUUGUCAUUGCUGAACACUCUGUCAUGCAGUAGGUGCUCAAUAAAUAUCUAACCCCCGUACACACAUCAAAAACAAAAGAGCAUCUAUGGGUCUUUAUACUGUAAGGUUUUACUUUCUUCUCCCCUACUUCCCUACUAUUGGUCCCUCCAUCUAGACCUUACGAUCUGCAGUGGUCUACAUUUGGGACCCUUACAGUAAACGUGUGCCACUUCUCUGAAAAGUCAUGCAGCUGCUCCCAGCUCCGUCUCUGCAUGACCAGGCAAGUGAGUGCAGACCUCAUCUUACAUCUGUGUGGUUCUCUUUUCUGCAGGCUGAAAUGCUGCUCUCCCCAUCAACUGUGAGGAUGCACUUGCUGCCCUCUUGCCCACCAAGGUAUGGGGCCUGGAGAGCUACGUUUGUGUCUGCUCUGACUUUGGACAGCCCCCACAGGGGUCAUUCCCCGGCAGCUCAUUCCAUCACUGAGAUGUGCUGAGAUCCCAGAGCCGCCUGCACCCUUGAGGUUCCUCUUCGGUCAUCAUUCCUUGCUUGGACUUCUUUAGACGUCUAGAGACUUCCGAGGUCGGUGAGCAGACUGUGUCCUUAACCAGCAUUUUGUUUCUCAGGGCCUCCCCGGGCCCCUCACCACCUCCCUCUCAGACUCCCAAACCCUGGAACUGAAUUCAAGGCAACCUUCUUCCCUCUUUGAAAGGUUUAACAAACAGCGUCUCAACUUUAACCUUGGCAAGUACAUUAACCAAGUUCCAGGUCACAUGAAUUAACGGAUGGCCCACUUAAAACAAACCACACUGAGUAGCUACGAGGAAUGUCUCCACUGCGGCAAGUGCAAAAUCCAAGUGAAGGCCCUGAUCAGCAAAUUGAGCGUGCUUCAGGACACCCGCCCCUCCUGCCUGGCCCCCUGCCGCUGCAGCAACACAUGUGAACUGACACGGUAUCUGAGCACACCCCGGGAAACAGACCGCAGCCCUCCCUGGCGCCCAGUGAUUACAGGCCAAGGCUGAAAGCAGCAACAAGAACCAAGAAACAAAGCCUUCUGUGAAACCAGAAACCACACAAGGUCACAAAAACAGCAAGAACUUGUAAAUCCUGAAAACCCUUCAGUGAGGAAUUUUCCUAAGCACCUGUGUCCAGCUCUGAAACAACAGUGGCUUGACACAUACCUGAGACGAUGAGAGCACAAAUCCAGCCGCCCCUCCGGAAAGACCAUUCAAGGUCACGGGCGUUUUAAGAUGUGGUUCUCUUUUGGGCUUAUCUGUGGAAAAACAUCCAAGGCACAGACCAAACAGCUGCUUUGAAAACACACUCAAGACAGACCACAUCCUUGCACACCGCUGUGGCCUCAGGACUCUGGGACUAAGGCAGGUUAUUAUUAACCUCCAAGUCAGACAACCUCCAGUGGAGCCAGGACUCAAACCUGGGACUGCCCAGCUGGAGAAGGAGUCUGGUUCCAGGUUCCUGAGCUACGUAACUAGCUGGCUUCCCCCCGGAUCACAAGAUGUCGUCAGACACCUACUGGAGCUAUGUGGAUCCUUAUUCACACUCAGAGAGAGCACUGCUUCCCAGAGCCACCAAACCACAGUUCUGAGCAGCGUUCUAAGGGACCAACCUGAACUGUGGCCAGGAAAUGCCUCCCUGCUGAUUACAGUGUGGGGUACAGUCCAUCUUUUGGGGGAGGGGAGGACGCUCGAAUGCUAGUUGGGGUUAAUUUCACUCAAAAUGUGUGGCUGCUAUGCAGUGCAGAUAAGAGUGGUCCCCAGAACAAAAUCUGGGCGCUGUGAGCAAAAGGAAAUGGUUGCUGAUCCAUGUCCCCCAAGGCACCCCAUGGCUCAAGUAAUGCUCCGUGUUAAUCCUUGUGCUGAAACUGCACAUACUUCUUGAGAACGCCUUGUCUGGAGCGGUAAGCAAUCUAGCAUUUUAACUUCCCCUCAAGGAACUGAUUUGUCCCUUGUGACCCCAUUAAUGUUUGCAGAUGCCUUGACCUUCAUUAAUUACGGGAGUUUUUGUAAAGCUGAACAUUGAGGCCAACAGCAGCCAUACUUCUCUUUUAGGAAAAUGGCAGCCACUCUGAGCCUCGAGGUUUACACAGCCCCCAACACUCUCUGGAUGGGACUGUACAUGCAGCACGGGGGUCAUCUGAGCCACCAGCUACUCAUCUUGUAUAGAAACAAAACAAAAAAGAACUGAGUACAGUAACCAAGGAAGAAAAUCAUAAAAGUUCACACGCUGGAAACAACUUUCUAAUUCUCUUAUCUAUACUUGGCCACAGAUGAGCUAAGAAUCAUCACCAGUAGUUAACUCAAGAGAGGCAUGCAAAUAUGUGGUAAGAUGCUAUAAUUUUGAGGUUAGAAAAUAAAUCCAUGUAUUUAUAACUUAAAUAGUGAUUUGAAUCAAGGAGUAUUAAUGGCUGUACCCUUAGAAAAAGAAUGAUUCUAACCACUUACCCUUCAGCACCCAACCCCUAUCAAAAGCAAACAUAUUCUGUGAUAACAAACAUCGUAAUAUCAUCUUUAUUUGUCUGCCCUGGAAAAAACACCAAAUCAUGACUGGUGUUCCUGUUAUUGAUUCCUCCCCAACAAGGAAAAAAAAAAAGUGACCUUUUGGCUGGGCACAGUGGCUAGUGCCUAUAAUCUCACCUCUUCAAAAGUAAAAAAAAGUUAAAAAAAAAAAUUAGCUGGGCGUGGUGGUGUACAUAUACAGUUCUA